rnacentral:rRNA from 1 species
CCUACGGGGGGCUGCAGUGGGGAAUAUUGCACAAUGGAGGGAACUCUGAUGCAGCGACGCCGCGUGAGUGAAGAAGUAAUUCGUUAUGUAAAGCUCUAUCAGCAGGGAAGAAAGUGACGGUACCUGAAAAAGAAGCUCCGGCUAAAUACGUGCCAGCAGCCGCCGUAAUACGUAUGGAGCAAGCGUUAUCCGGAUUUACUGGGUGGAAAGGGAGAGUAGGUGGCAGAGCAAGUCCGAAAGGAAAACCCAGGGGUCAACUAUGGGAAUGCUUUAGAAACUGCUCAGCUAGAGUGCGGGAGAGGCAAGUGGAAUUCUAAGUGAAGCGGUGAAAUGCGUAGAUAUUAGGAAGAACACCAGUGGCGAAGGCGGCUUGCUGGACUGUAACUGACGCUGAGGCUCGAAAGCGUGGGGAGCAAACAGGAUUAGAUACCCGUGUAGUC